AUGAACGCUGGCGGCGUGCCUAAUACAUGCAAGUCGAGCGAACAGAUGAGGAGCUUGCUCCUCUGACGUUAGCGGCGGACGGGUGAGUAACACGUGGAUAACCUACCUAUAAGCCUGGGAUAACUUCGGGAAACCGGAGCUAAUACCGGAUAAUAUAUUGAACCGCAUGGUUCAAUAGUGAAAGACGGUUUUGCUGUCACUUAUAGAUCGAUCCGCGCCGCAUUAGCUAGUUGGUAAGGUAACGGCUUACCAAGGCAACGAUGCGUAGCCGACCUGAGAGGGUGAUCGGCCACACUGGAACUGAGACACGGUCCAGACUCCUACGGGAGGCAGCAGUAGGGAAUCUUCCGCAAAGGGCGAAAGCCUGACGGAGCAACGCCGCGUGAGUGAUGAAGGUCUUCGGAUCGUAAAACUCUGUUAUUAGGGAAGAACAAAUGUGUAAGUAACUAUGCACGUCUUGACGGUACCUAAUCAGAAAGCCACGGCUAACUACGUG
rnacentral:rRNA from 1 species